rnacentral:tRNA from 18 species
GCCGGGGUGGCGGAACUGGCAGACGCACAGGACUUAAAAUCCUGCGGUGAGUGAUCACCGUGCCGGUUCGAUUCCGGCCCUCGGCACCA